rnacentral:rRNA from 1 species
GACGAACGCUGGCGGCGUGCUUAACACAUGCAAGUCGAACGGAAAGGCCCUGCUUUGGUGGGGUGCUCGAGGGGCGAACGGGUGAGUAACACGUGAGUAACCUGCCCUUGACUUUGGGAUAACUUCAGGAAACUGGGGCUAAUACCGGAUAGGAGCUCCUGCUGCAUGGUGGGGGUUGGAAAGUUUCGGCGGUUGGGGAUGGACUCGCGGCUUAUCAGCUUGUUGGUGGGGUAGUGGCUUACCAAGGCUUUGACGGGUAGCCGGCCUGAGAGGGUGACCGGCCACAUUGGGACUGAGAUACGGCCCAGACUCCUACGGGAGGCAGCAGUGGGGAAUAUUGCACAAUGGGAGGAAGCCUGAUGCAGCAACGCCGCGUGCGGGAUGACGGCAUUCGGGUUGUAAACCGCUUUCGCUUGUGACGAAGCGUGAGUGACGGUAAUGGGUAAAGAAGCACCGGCUAACUACGUG